UACGAGGGGGGCAAGCGUUGUUCGGAAUUAUUGGGCGUAAAGGGCGCGUAGGCGGUGCGGUAAGUUUUAUGUGAAAUCUUCGGGCUUAACUCGAAGCCUGCAUAAAAUACUGCCGGGCUUGAGUAUGGGAGAGGUGAGUGGAAUUUCCGGUGUAGCGGUGAAAUGCGUAGAUAUCUGGAAGAACACCAAAGGCGAAGGCAGUGUCCUGGGUGGUCGCUGACGCUGAGAGGCGAAAGCCAGGGGAGCGAACGGG
rnacentral:rRNA from 1 species